rnacentral:lncRNA from 1 species
AAAGAAUCGAAUCAGUGACCUCUGCAUUGGACUCAGAUUUCUCUGCAUCUAAACAUACAAUGCUUGAAACACCUUAGCCUCGCAUCCAUCAACUAGGGAAAAACCUCUGCCUACUCUACAAACAGAUGUACCAAAAGGAAAAAAAGAAGUGAUGAAAAUGCACAUUUCAUGUUGGAAUUAACCACUGGACAGCUGGACUUUAAAGACAAAAAUCAACCCACCCCAAUUUUCAGCCAAAGACUUCUGCCUGAACCCUAACAUUGCCCUUCUGGUAAAAGAAACACAAAAGCCAGAAGUACAGAGGAGCUUCACCAUGGAAGAAAAGCAAGAGCAAACCUUGCAUUUUGCCCUUGUGUUGGAGAAGACAGUGAGGGAUCAAUUUCCAAGCAGCCUCACCAUGUCAUUCUCUGUGCUGCUGACCGCCUUCAAGUUGCAACUCUUCCAGGCUGAAGCAUCCCAUCCUGCCAGAAUGACAUAUGCAACAGUUCAGCAAAUUUAGGUAAGAGCAACACCUUGCACCAGCUCUGCACCAAGAGGAAGGCUGCACAACCCAGAGUGGGGAGAAUGGUUUCCAGAUCAUAAAGCAAACGGUUGUUGCAGCCUUGAAUGGUUUGAGCAGGAAAAUGAAGUUGUUUGAUGUGCUUUGACUUCAGCAAAAAUCCAUGCUGCUCUCUCCUUCUCUAGUUAUGUGAUUAGGUGGGAGGGAGCGCAGGAUUUAUCCAUGGCUUGACCUGAUGCAACAACUGAACUCUGAGGACAGCACUGAUCACUCUUAAAGAAAAAUGCUCCUCAUCAACAGUGGGAACAUUGAGUAAAAUAUAAAAAUAUCCUUUUAAGCUGCAACCAUACAGACAUGAUCAUUAUAAUUAUGGGUAAUGAAAU